rnacentral:piRNA from 1 species
UUGCUGAUCCUGGUUGCCUGAAGAUUCAGC